rnacentral:rRNA from 1 species
AACGAACGCUGGCGGCAGGCCUAACACAUGCAAGUCGAACGCCGCAGCAAUACGGAGUGGCAGACGGGUGAGUAACGCGUGGGGACCUUCCCUAUGGUUCGGAAUAGCUCAGGGAAACCUGGGGUAAUACCGGAUAAGCCCUUCGGGGGAAAGAUUUAUCGCCAUUGGAUGGGCCCGUGUCGGAUUAGCUAGUUGGUGAGGUAACGGCUCACCAAGGCGACGAUCCGUAGCUGGUCUGAGAGGAUGAUAAGCCACACUGGGACUGAGACACGGCCCAGACUCCUACGGGAGGCAGCAGUGGGGAAUAUUGGACAAUGGGCGAAAGCCUGAUCCAGCCAUGCCGCGUGAGUGACGAAGGCCUUAGGGUUGUAAAGCUCUUUUGGCGGGGAAGAUACUGACGGUACCCGCAGAAUAAGCUCCGGCUAACUUCGUGCCAGCCGCCGCCGUAA